UACGGUAGGGGGCUAGCGUUGUCCGGAAUCAUUGGGCGUAAAGCGCGUGUAGGCGGUCCGGUAAGUCCGCUGUGAAAGUCGGGGGCUCAACCCUCGGAUGCCGGUGGAUACUGUCGGGCUUGAGUACGGAAGAGGCGAGUGGAAUUCCUGGUGUAGCGGUGAAAUGCGCAGAUAUCAGGAGGAACACCAAUUGCGAAGGCAGCUCGCUGGGACGUUACUGACGCUGAGACGCGAAAGCGUGGGGAGCAAACAGG
rnacentral:rRNA from 1 species